GGGAAGUUAGCUCAGUGGUAGAGCGCUUGCCUUGCAUGCAUGAAGCCCUGGUUUCGAUUCCUCA
rnacentral:tRNA from 1 species